rnacentral:rRNA from 1 species
AGUGAACGCUGGCGGUAGGCCUAACACAUGCAAGUCGAACGGCAGCACAGUAAGAGCUUGCUCUUACGGGUGGCGAGUGGCGGACGGGUGAGGAAUACAUCGGAAUCUACUUUUUCGUGGGGGAUAACGUAGGGAAACUUACGCUAAUACCGCAUACGACCUACGGGUGAAAGCAGGGGAUCUUCGGACCUUGCGCGAUUGAAUGAGCCGAUGUCGGAUUAGCUAGUUGGCGGGGUAAAGGCCCACCAAGGCGACGAUCCGUAGCUGGUCUGAGAGGAUGAUCAGCCACACGGGAACUGAGACACGGUCCAGACUACUAAGGGAGGCAGCAGUGGGGAAUAUUGGACAAUGGGCGCAAGCCUGAUCCAGCCAGACCGCGUGGGUGAAGAAGGCGUUCGGGUUGUAAAGACCUUUUGUUGGGAAAGAAAAGCAGCAGGUUAAGACCACGCUGUUCUGACGGUACCCAAAGAAUAAGCACCGGCUAACUUCGUG